AUAUCUGCCAUGAAAAUUUCAUUAUAUUGAAGUACUCUUUUAUUGAGUGUUAUAAAUAUAGAUUAAUGAAACUGUUCUUUUGCUAUUCAAGCAAAUUAUUCAACAUAUUUGUCGUGGACAGUUUAUUUUCGCAGUGAGGAUCGAUGCUUGAACAAUGGAAUAUGAUUGAAAUGUAUUGUUCUACCCGGCAUUAUGAACAAAUAAAAAAGGACUAUUUUUUUUAACGCAGCAAUUUUCUAAAGAUUAAAGUAUGUUAAAGCAUUUUGGUAUCGUCUUACUGACCAGUCAUUUUUGGAGUGUAAGCUUAGUAUACGUACGCCC
rnacentral:lncRNA from 1 species